rnacentral:rRNA from 1 species
UGGGGAAUCUUAGACAAUGGGGGAAACCCUGAUCUAGCCAUGCCGCGUGAGUGACGAAGGCCUUAGGGUCGUAAAGCUCUUUCGCCAGGGAUGAUAAUGACAGUACCUGGUAAAGAAACCCCGGCUAACUCCGUGCCAGCAGCCGCGGUAAUACGGAGGGGGUUAGCGUUGUUCGGAAUUACUGGGCGUAAAGCGCACGUAGGCGGACUAUUAAGUCAGGGGUGAAAUCCCGGGGCUCAACCCCGGAACUGCCUUUGAUACUGGUAGUCUUGAGUUCGAGAGAGGUGAGUGGAAUUCCGAGUGUAGAGGUGAAAUUCGUAGAUAUUCGGAGGAACACCAGUGGCGAAGGCGACUGCCUGGACAAUGAUUGACGCUGAGGUGCGAAAGCGUGGGUAGCAAACAGGAUUAGAUACCCGCGUAGUCC